ensembl:misc_RNA Metazoa_SRP Metazoan signal recognition particle RNA
GUUGGGCAUAGUAGUCCAUGCCCAUAAUCCCUACUACUAGGGAGGUUGAGGAUGUUGGAUUGCUUGAGCUCAAGAGUUCUGAGCUACAGUAGAGCUAAAGUCAAUUAGGUGUCUGCACCAAGACAGCAACGAUAUGGUGAUCCUUGGGAGCAAGGGACUAUCAGUUUGUUUAAGAAGAAGAAAACCAGCUCAGAUUGGAAACAGAGCAGGCCAACACUUCCACACCAAUUAGCAGUGGGAUUGACCCAAUGAAUUGCCACUGCAUUUUCAAUGUGGGUAAGAUAGAACACACACACACAC